CCUCCCCUACGGGAGGCAGCAGUGAGGAAUAUUGGUCAAUGGGAGAGAUCCUGAACCAGCCAAGCCGCGUGAGGGAAGACGGCCCUAUGGGUUGUAAACCUCUUUUGUCGGAGAACAAAACCCGGGACGUGUCCCGGACUGCGUGUAUCCGAAGAAAAAGCAUCGGCUAACUACGUGCCAGCAGCCGCGGUAAUACGUAGGUGGCGAGCGUUAUCCGGAAUGAUUGAGCGUAAAGGGUGCGUAGGCGGCCUGCUAAGUCUGGAGUGAAAGGAACCGGCUCAACCGUGACAGGCUCUGGAAACUGG
rnacentral:rRNA from 1 species